UACGAAGGGGGCUAGCGUUGCUCGGAAUUACUGGGCGUAAAGGGUGUGUAGGCGGUUUUUUAAGUUUGGUGUGAAAUCUCCCGGCUCAACUGGGAGGGUGCGCCGAAUACUGAAAGACUAGAGUGCGGGAGAGGAAAGUGGAAUUCCUGGUGUAGCGGUGAAAUGCGUAGAUAUCAGGAGGAACACCGGUGGUGUAGACGGCUUUCUGGACCGUAACUGACGCUGAGACACGAAAGCGUGGGUAGCAAACAGG
rnacentral:rRNA from 1 species